rnacentral:sRNA from 1 species
AUAGCAACAGCAGCGUAGCUGAACAUCUUACGGAUGGCCCAGGGCUCCAAAGGCUCGUUUCCUAAGUGAGAGAGAGCCUGGCUGAAGCUGUAUUACCAUUCAUUCUCCAGCCUCCGAAGUCUCAAAGCAUCACUUCCACCAUACUCUAACUGUCAAGACAAACACAAAGGCCCAGAAAGAAGAAUACACUAUCGAUGUUCCUUUUAAACAAGUAUUUGAGUAAAAGCGAUGUUUCCAAUGUGUGUCAGAAAGUGAAUACUUGUAUAUUUCCGCACGGUUAGAGCUGAGCUUUCCGAGCAAAUUUUACUGGGACCCGGUUGAAAGACAGGUCUUGGAAGUGAAAUGAUGACUGACUAGAUGACAUUACAUGUAAAUGGAAUCAUACAAUAUGUGAUCUUUUGUGACUGGCUUCUUUCACUUAGCAUAAUGUUUUCAAGGUUUGUUCGUGUUGUAGCAGAAACUGCCAGACUGUCUUCUGAAGUGGCUAUAAUAUUUACACUCCCAUCAGCAGUGUAGAAGGGGUCUCACUAUGUUGUCUGGAGUGCUGUGGUGGAGUGGAGUGGCUAUUCACAGAGCCUGUUCUGCUGGGACACAGAAUCACUUGCUCCAUCUCAUACAUUGAUGAUGAUUAAUUUGUAUGUGUACCUUCCAAAAAAGAUGGUUGUGUUUGAAUGGAGGCCUUCUGGACAGGAAAAUUGCAAAGUACAAUUAACAUUUGAGUCUGUCUGAGUCAUGAAGAAAUGGAGAUUACUGAAAAUAAUUCAUUUUGGUAUCUUCUUACAUCCUGAGAGACUAAUCUUUCCAAGUUCAUCUGAGGCUCCUCUUCUCCAUGACAACCUCAUCCAGGGAUUUCUUCCUGUCCUGGUGUUUUAUGACAUCAUCCUCAUCUCGCUUGUAAGGAUAAUAGCCUUCCUCCAAACCUCACACACUUUUGGAGGAGAUCACUUUUUUUAAAGUGCAUGGAAAUGUUUUGAAACAGUGAAAUCUAUAAUGAUAGGUUUCAUAAUUCUAACAUCCACACCAUAUGAAUCACAUCCUUCCUGAGAUAAUGAGCACACAAUUGCCUGGAUACCUGAAGGAAUGGAGACAGCGGCAGAAAACACUGCAGAGAGGUGGAAACAUCCGUUAAUAUUUUAAAAUCCCAUUACUGCUACCAACAAUAAUAAUGGAUGCAUAGAAAUAGAUCUGGAUUAGCUGAGCUUGAAACAGUCCAUCUCACACACACACAAAAGAAUUUCAGAUACAGUGAACCCACAUGUUGAAGCUUUCUAGUAUAAUAAAAAUUUCAACUGUUCUGUUGAAUCAUCUGCCUGAUUGGAGGCUACAGAAAAGAUGUCAUCUUAGGAGUGCUUGCUCUGAGUGAGGCUCAUCUUCAAAUCUGAAUGACCACAAGGAGAUUUGAUUAUACAUGUGAACACCUCAGAAGGCACAGCCCACCCAGAAGGCAGACAGGUCAGGCUGCUUUUUCUUCAUUGCUUGGAUUCAAUCCUCCGGGCGGCUCAGGCUCAAACAUAACUUAAGCAUGAUUAAACUUUAGAAGAAGCUGCCAGGAAGACUGUGAAAUCUUCAUGCCCAAGGAUCCCUAAAAUUAGGAGCAACAACCACUUGGCUCAGACGGUUUAUGGAGGCAAAGGUUUGGAUGGGAUUAGAGAUUUCUAAAUGUGAGUUCGUGUCCUCUGCCAGACCACCUUACUUCCACCAUUCCUCAGCAAAUCAAGAAAAACAGGAGAAAAGACAUGCCUUUCCAUAAGUUAAAUCUAUUCUGUUUUAAUUCUAUAUUAUAUCUGCUGUACAACUUCUUUUGUUUGUAACACCAUAUUGUUGCUAGUAACUGGAAAUUAAUUUUCACAUGCCUCAGCUUAGAAAAAUAAAAAGCAGCCCUGCAUCAA